AUCCAGCUGACGAGCCCUAAAAAGGCGAAACGUGCGUCCUGGAU
rnacentral:hammerhead_ribozyme from 1 species